rnacentral:rRNA from 1 species
GACGAACGCUGGCGGCGUGCCUAAUACAUGCAAGUUGAGCGCUGAAGGUUGGUACUUGUACCAACUGGAUGAGCAGCGAACGGGUGAGUAACGCGUGGGGAAUCUGCCUUUGAGCGGGGGACAACAUUUGGAAACGAAUUCUAAUACCGCAUAAAAACUUUAAACACAAGUUGUAAGUUUGAAAUAUGCAAUUGCAUCACUCAAAGAUGAUCCCGCGUUUUAUUAGCUAGUUGGUGAGGUAAAGGCUCACCAAGGCGAUGAUACAUAGCAGACCUGAGAGGGUGAUCGGCCACAUUGGGAGUGAGACACGGCACAAACUCCUACGGGAGCGAGCAGUAGGGAAACUUCGGCAAUGGGGGAAAGUCUGAGCGAGAAACGCAGCGGGAGUGAGGAAGGUUUUCGGAUCGUAAAACUCUGUUUGUAGAGAAGAAAGUUGGUGAGAGUGGAAAGCUCAUCAAGUGACGGUAACUACCCAGAAAGGGACGGCUAACUACGUG